GUCAAAAAUCAAUUGAACAUAUAUGUGAGAAUUUAUUUCUGGGGCUUCUAUUCUAUUCUAUUGGUGUAUAUGUCUGUCCUCAUGCCAGUGCCACACCGUUUUGAUUAUUGUAGCUUUUUAGUAAGUUUUAAGAUGAAGAAAGUGUCCUUCAACAUUUUCAAAUAUAUAUUUCAAUUGUGCAUCUAGACAGCAUGCAUUUCUGAAAGAUAUUUUCACAAGUGGCAAAAUCUGAAUCUUCAAAACUUUAAUACAGAAAUUAAACUGUUUUCCUUUUCUUUACUCACUUAAAGGAUUGAAUGAAAAUAUAUCUAUCUUACUUCUUUCUACAAAAACCCACCACAAACUCUCCCCAUGAUACCCUAGAAGAGUUAGAGGAGUCAGGGAGGAGUUGAUUCUGAGUUCACAGAUUCUCCUUGAGGAAAUAUGAGAAGCAGUGGCAAAGUAGAAGGAGGCAUCACUCCUGGUCAGGGAAGGAGCUCCCUGCUAAAAAGAAGAAGAAGGGUGGGAUAUCGGUAAAAGAAGGAAGGUGGGUUUACUGUAAAUGGCUCUCAAGGUUUAGGAGUUGACGCCAGGGAUUUUUCAAAAAUAAAAAGGGCACUCCUGCUCAGGUGCGUGAAACUAGCACAGAACCACCUGAGGAGUGUGAAUCAGGGUCCCACUGUGGCAGGUCUUGGUAAGUACAGGUGCCCAAUGGAUCUAGCUAGAGACCACCUCAGCUGAGAUGAUGGUUAUAAUAACACACCUACUAUUGUACACUUACUAUAUUGAUGUCCCUUAUCCCUAAUGCCAUUUUAGGAAGAACAAAUUAAAAAACAUAUUUUCUUUCUGGCAUAAUUUCCACUCUCCUCCUACCUCCUUGCUUUUAAAAAAAUUUGCUUCAAGUAGCAAUCAGUGAUGCCUGCAAGUUGCAGCAUUGCACUGGAGCAGGGAAAGAGAUAAUAGGAACAGUCAAGUGCUUAGCUCUUGCAUGGUUGAGGAUGACAAAAGACAUUGGAUCAAACAAUAUCUCCCACAGCCAGGAGUUAAUAUGCCCUUCAGAGAGGAGGGUGAGAAUGCAGUAGGUAUCCAGGGGAAAAUGUUCAGGCAGUUGGUUGUUGACUAUAUGAGUCUGUAAGUUCAGGAGGAGGUACCCUGAAGGAGUACUUAGAAUCCUCAGCAUCUAGACAGUAAAGCCAUCAUGGAAUCUGAUGAAAUCACUUCAGAUAAAGUGUACAGAGAAAGGGAAAAAAAGAGGUCAAGGUAAAAUCCCUGGGGCACACCAGCAUUUGGGGAGUAAACUAAAAAGAAACUAAUAGUUAAGAAUGGAAAGGAUCUAAGAGGUAGUAAAAGAAUGUGUAACUGCCUGAUGGCUUCUUCCUGCCUGCUGCACAAAUAAAGACCAUGGCAUUGCAGUAAAGAAAGAGUUGAAUAGACACAAGGCUGGCCAUGACAUGUGGGAGACAGAGUUCAUACUCAAGUCAAUCUCGUCCAAGUCUUGUAGGUUAGGGGUUUUUCAGAGGCAGGUUAGGGAAUAAAAGAAGGGGGUGGCUUGGAAAUUGGUGCUUGCUGCUGAUUGGUUGGGAUGGAGAUUAAAUCAUAAGGGGUUGAAGCUGCCCUCUUGAACUGAGUUGCUCCUGGCUGGGGCCAUAAGAGCCAUCAGGUCCAAGUGGAGCCAUGAGUGUCAGAUAUGAAAAACAUCUGAAAGGAUAUCUCAAAGGCCAGGCUCUAAUAGUGAUAUGAACUGCAGGAUCCCUGUAAUAAUGGCUACGCUUAGCAAAAAUCAGACUUCUUUUCUCCUCCAGCCUGAUGGCCUUUCAUUAGGUUUACAAAGGUGGUUGAGUUUUGAGGAAGGACUCUUAUCAUUUACACUAUAACCUAAAUGUCUUCCAAAGUUAGCUUGUCCCAAAAGCCCAAGGUUAAUUAAGGGAAAGGCAAGCUAGGGGUAGUUUAAAUCAGAUCCAUUUCACUGCCAUAAUUUUCUCACUGUCACAAUUUUUGCAAAGGUGAUUUCAAAAUAAAAGACUGUAGAACCAUUAAAAAAAAAGUAGGGAGGGAGAGAAUUUCUGGAAUAAUGUGACAAACAGUCUCAACUGUCACAGAGAUGUCAAGUAGGAUGAAGGCUGAGGCAUUUCUGUUGGAUGUGGCAAUGAGAGGGUUAUUCGGCACUUCUUGCAAGAAUUGGUUCACAGGAGCCAGCCUGCAGAGUACAGAGAGAGUAGGAAUGAGGGAGUGACAUAGCAGAGCCCCUGACAGUUUUCCCAGCAGCAUCACUUUUUGAAAGGAAUAUAUGUUUGAAGAAAGUGUUUUCUUUUUAAAUGGGAAAGACAAGCACAUUCAUAGGUAAGUCCCAGAAGGACAUAGAAGUUGAAAG
rnacentral:lncRNA from 10 species